GCCCACGACCAGUGCAACAGAGAGCAAACCGCCGAUGGCCCACGCAAGUGGGAUCAGGUAAGGGUGAAAGGGUGCGGUAAGAGCGCACCGCGCGUCUGGUAACAGUUCGCGGCACGGUAAACUCCACCCGGAGCAAGGCCAAAUAGGGGUUCAUAAGGUACGGCCCGUACUGAACCCGGGUAGGCUGCUUGAGCCAGUGAGCGAUUGCUGGCCUAGAUGAAUGACUGUCCACGACAGAACCCGGCUUAACGGUCAGCUUCCUCA
rnacentral:RNase_P_RNA from 1 species